GUGGGUAUAGUUCAGUGGUAGAGUAUGUACCUAGCAAGCAUGAGGUCCUGGGUUCAAUCCCCAGUAUCUCCA
rfam:Camelus ferus unplaced genomic scaffold scaffold2748, whole genome shotgun sequence.